CGGGGUGUAGCUCAGCCUGGCAGAGUGCUUCGUUCGGGACGAAGAGGCCCCCGGUUCAAAUCCGGGCACCCCGACCA
rnacentral:tRNA from 2 species